rnacentral:rRNA from 1 species
AUGAACGCUGGCGGCGUGCCUAAUACAUGCAAGUCGAGCGAACGGACGAGAAGCUUGCUUCUCUGAUGUUAGCGGCGGACGGGUGAGUAACACGUGGAUAACCUACCUAUAAGACUGGGAUAACUUCGGGAAACCGUAGCUAAUACCGGAUAAUAUUUUGAACCGCAUGGUUCAAAAGUGAAAGACGGUCUUGCUGUCACUUAUAGAUGGAUCCGCGCUGCAUUAGCUAGUUGGUAAGGUAACGGCUUACCAAGGCAACGAUGCAUAGCCGACCUGAGAGGGUGAUCGGCCACACUGGAACUGAGACACGGUCCAGACUCCUACGGGAGGCAGCAGUAGGGAAUCUUCCGCAAUGGGCGAAAGCCUGACGGAGCAACGCCGCGUGAGUGAUGAAGGUCUUCGGAUCGUAAAACUCUGUUAUUAGGGAAGAACAUAUGUGUAAGUAACUGCGCACAUCUUGACGGUACCUAAUCAGAAAGCCACGGCUAACUACGUG